UCUCUGGAAGCACGGGCUCAAAAGAUGGGGCAAGGGGACUAAGACUGGAACCGGGCAUUGAGAUUAAACGGACAAAGUUGCCAUUCUUUGCCGCCGCCCGCACCUGCAGCAAAGCAGGGAACACUGUUUCACCCCGGCCAGCUGAACGCCACAUCAGCCAGGCCCUCAGCUGGCCUCAGGGCGGCACCCCUGACCCGCCAGCUCCUCCUGGGGAGCUUUGAAACAGACGCCAAAAGAAAUGAAUAAGAUCCCUCCAGCCACUAUAUCCAAAGCAGAAAAAAAAAAAAAAAGAGCCAAUGACAGACCCUCCUCCACACUUUCAGAUCAAUGGAGAGGGAGAAAAAACUGCCUGCAAACAGAAUACAUGGAUUACGUGUGGUGCAUGAGGGUUACAUGCAUGCAAGCGUGCCAUCAUGCUUGGGACACAUAACAGCGACUAGAGCACACUUGUGUGUUAUUGCCUAGUGAGUCAUGAAUGAAGGAGACCCAAAUGAACAGCCAGCGGAUAUUGCUACACAGAAAGAGAAAAUCUCUUAUGUGGGGAGGCAUAAUAUGAUAAUUAAUUAUCAAACACAGAACUAGGAAUAAGUACACAAAGACCAACAGUCUGUUUUGUCCAUUGAUUUAUCCUAGGUGCCUCAGACAGCGCCCAACACGGGUCCACGCAUGUGUACUGAAUUGAAUUCUUGAUAGUCAUGUCAAGACGAAAUAGUCCAAGCAUAUUGAAUCAAAAAGGAGUUAGGCUACUCUGUCACUAACGGUGACCAAAUCAUUAACACCCAUCAUUAAUUACUCGAAUCUUUUACUUUUUUAGCUCCUUUUUAUGUGUCUAUGUAGCUGCAGAACUAAAAAUGACUGAAGAUGAAGGCAAUACAGUUCCCAUCUAUUUGCACUGAAAGCCACGCCCCUGGCAAGCAAGAUAUUACGCGUUGUUUAAACGUCUUGGUAGAUGAGCCGAGGAAUAAUUUCGGUGAGUCUUCCAGGAUCGCAAGGCUACUAACUUAAAAAGAAAAAAUUAAACUACGAAGAUACACAUAUACAUAUUCAAGGCUCACAUUUUAAGUUUGGCAACAUGGGGGCAAAAACCCAGCUGUCUCUAGUUUAAACUUGGACACACACACACACACACACACGCCAAGUUAAGUGGCAAUUCUGAGUGGGAUUAUAAAAAUGAGCACAUUCAUAGCCAUUCGGUGCAAUACUCACUAGUGAGUGAGCAAGCUGCCCACCACCCCCCCUUACAAGUCAGACUUUAACAAUCAUUCUGAUAUAUAUAUAUAAAGUGGAGGGAAAACUAUAAUAAAAAGAGGCCUUUAAUUAAAUGAAAUUGCCACUCUGGGAUCAGGGCUUCAUGCUUGUCAGCGUCCUCUCAAAAUAAACAUCUCAAAACCAGGCCUUGCUACUGUCACUUUCUCACAGGCAAAGCAUACUGGGUAAUCCCCAGGCAUCUUGACAGCUACAUAAUGUUCAAACUGUUUCACGGGUGAAUGGCAGCAGUUGCGUGAAAGAAAAUAUUAAUGUCUGGAAUUAAUAGAAAAAGGGACCAGGGUUUACAAAGCCAAACAAGGAAAGAGGGUGUCAAGUUAGCACGGCGUUAAUUGUUCGGGAAAAUUUGAGGAAGGGGGGGUGGGCCCGGGGUGACUUUUCUCUCUGAGCCUAAGUGCCUCACUGUCAGCGAGGUGAUGUCUCAACUAGGCAGGCUCUGAAAAGGGGUCGGCUGCUCAGAAAUGCAACGCCCAGAUUAUACAAAUGACGAGCUGACACCUGAAUGAGUGGACUUUAACCUUUUCCACUGGGAGCUUCGGAAACAAUGAAGCUCUUUGGAAUAAAGAGGUAGGGUGGUACUUGGGGAGGAGAAUGACCCUUAGACGCCGGGGAUGGUGCCUCCAGGCUGGGGCUGCCACCGAUUCUGCCAUGGGGACCCCAUGGAGUGACACAACCUCAAAUUUAGAAUAUCAAGGCCUUCGGUAUCAGUGGCCCUAGUUUCCUGCUCUACCCCAAACACACUGAGGCUCUGCGUACACUCAGAGAGAUGACCAGCCAUUCACCAGUCCUCCAAAAAUGUCUUACCCAUUUAUACUCCUGACACCAUGUGUGACAGUCCUCGUUUCUGCUCAUGCUCAGCGACACUAUGGCCCGCCAAGUCUCCCUGGACUCCUUACCUGUCAGGCCUGCUAACAUCGCUCACGUGCCACGCACCUGUACAGGUGACAGUGCAUGGCUCCGUGCCCGGCACUAGGAAGGGGGUUCGGAGGAAAAUUAAUCCCAGACCCUGCUCUUCUGCACCUGGCAGGCAGCAGGCAGACUGUAAAUAUCACCCAAGAGGUAAGUGUCAAAACAGAAUUGAAUUUGAAGUUAUGCAAGUUCACGGUGAGGGGAGAUUAGUCUAGCCUGGGUGUCAGGGGAGGCUGCAAGAGAGAUGGGAGUUGAAGUCUGGGUGAACCUGGAUGUGCAGAGAGGGACCGAGGUCCUCUGAAUGGAAGGGAUUGGCACCGAAAGGGCAGGAGGGGACAGAGACCAUAGUGACAAGAUGCGUAUAGUGCCAGGCAAGCAUUUCAGUCCAUCCAGAAAUGAUGGGUAAAAAUGUAAUUUAAAAACGCAGUUUAAAAGGCAGAUCUGAGUCAGAGACCAAAGUGCCCUAAGAUAAUAGUUUCAUUUUCGUUCUAUAAGACAGAUAGGGUGUUUUCACUCUGUUUCGCCCUCUUUCCUUUUGGUAUUUUAACAAAGGAAAGACACGCUCACAACUCUGAAAGGUAGGAAAUAAAAAGUGAAGUCUCUGCCCUCUUAACUUCUCCUUACCCCCAUGCCUGUCAAGUGCCAGUUUCUUGGGUGUUUUAUAGGACAAAUAUAUAUCAGAAUUGCUUUUAACUCGAAUGUAAUCACAUCAAAUGCACUGGACCGCAUGCUUUCACUUUCGCAAUUAAAGCACCUUGGAGCUCUGCUCAGACCAUCGAUAGAGAUUCAUGCAUUUCGGGUUUUCAGGAAACAACUGUGGGAGUUAUUGUGUUAGUGUGUCUUCACUGAUGUCACUAGUCACCAAAUAAUGGACAUUUACAUCCCUUCCUUCUUUUUUUUUACUAGUACAGACGAUACUAUAAUAAGCAUCUGGUAUGACUCUCUUGGGGUUCAUAAGUGGUUACACUGAAAAGAAAUUUUAACAUUGGAACUGCUUAGCAAAUUAAUGUGUCCCUUUUCUGGUUCCGGCAGACACUGUCAAAUUCUUCUCCCAAAAAUCUGUCCAAUGUAUACUCCCACCAAGUGGGGGGAGUAUAUAUAUAUAUAUAUUUUUUUUUUUUUACUUGUUUCUCUACAUGCUUACCAACAUUGGACAUUAUAAACCUUUUUAAAAAACCAAUGUCAGAUGGAAAAUGGUAUCUCCAUUUUUCUCUAUUGACAGCAUUUGAGUAAAUCCCCUUUUAGUGACCUACAUUCCUACUUCUUUGUCAAGGAAAUUCUUGUUCAUAUCCUUUUCCCCCCUGUUCUAUGGGUUCACGGUUUAUCAUUUGCUUACAGAUCUUGAAGGGUCCGUAAUUAAGGCAAUCGGUCACUGGCUAUACAUCUUUUUAUAAUUUGUUUACACUUAUGUUAUUUCUUGCAAUGAGUAAGUUUCAUUUUUAUUUAGUCAAAUUUACCAAAUUUCAGUCACAUUUAUGGCUUUGUAGUUUAACAUGCUGCUCUGAAGAAAUUUUCUCACUAUAGGAUUUUAAAUUAGUUCAGCUCUGUUUUCUUCCACAGAUUUUGUAGAGUUUCGUUUUUUACACUUAAGCCUUUGGUCCAUCUGGAAUUAUUUUAGUGUGUGGAGGGAAGGAAAUUCAGGUUUGCUUAUGAGCAGGAGAGUAAAAUGAUCAGAGCCAAGCUGGAGAAAUAUAAAUCUGGCAGCAGCUUAUAACUCAGAAGGCAGAAGAAACGGGCUAAGGCAGGCCAACCUGGCCACUGAGAUAAUGCAGCACCGGGGCAUCGAAGACGAGGAAGAGAGCUGCCCCAAGACAGUAAGAAGUAAAAACCCAAAUCUCACGAACACGAGAAUGUUCGUCUCAAGAGAUGCUCCGUGGGCUGGAAGGGUUAAGUCACAAAACACCAUCGAGAAAAGCCAUUUAUGGUUUUCUCACUUAGGACUUCGCAUUACAGAGUAAAACAAUGAGCUCUGCCAAGACCUUCAUGAAAGAAAGACGACAACAACAAUAAAACAGCUGAAAACUUUUCCACUCUGUAUUUCGUAAGAUGGUUUUAACACAGAAAACACUUGACUUGGAGCCCCUAUGAAUGUAAUAUUACACUCCUCCAAUUCAAAGCUCUGGAUAUAAAAUAUAUGUCCAGAAUUAUCUAGUCAUAUGCAUGGUAGAUGGAUUAUAAAUAGGUGAUAAGUGAAUGAAUAAACUUUGGAUUAAGAUGGGCAUGGUGAAUUUAAACACAGGCCUUGCUUUUAACAACUGCAGUACUUGGGGCAACGCCAUGUCCUUAUGCCUCCUGUUUUCACCUAUAAGAAGGAAAAUGCCAACCUCAAAGAAUUACAUUGAAAUGGAAUGAACCAAUAUACAUCGAUGAUAGCAGGUCCAGCUACUUACUGAGAAAGUCCCAUGGUAAGUGCUACUAUUUUUAGCAUUACUGUUCAAUUAAGUAAAAUGGGGGAGAGUGUAUAACAAUGCGUAGUACUAAUUAAAUAUUCAUUCACUUUAUUUAGGCUGUCCAAGAUCAUAUGUACUGAUAAUUUGUCACUCUCAUAUCCCUUCUAUUGCCAUCUCUAAAGGUACGAAAGUUCUAUCACCUCUCUUCAUACAGUGAACAGAAAAUGCCUUAUUUUAUGCAUUUCUUACAAGGAUCUCCUGUGGCUGGGGAAAUUUUCCAUGUAACAAUCUGAGCUGUCCUGGAAGGAAAGGGAUAUAUAAAAGCUAAAAAUAAUGACGUAUCCAGAACCCCUGGCUACCACUCUACUCCAAUCCUAUGGUUAUUCAUUGAGGAUUUCAGGGCCCUUGGCAGGUAAGAAUCUGAUGAAAAUAACAGGCAGCUCAGUGCAAAGGGCACACGACAACUCGAAUCUAUCAUCAGGAGAGUCAUCAAGAACCAUAUUAUUUGACAAUUUUGUUCUCCUCUUGGUAUUUUAUUUAUCAUCUUGAGAGGCUGUUACCACACUGAGAGCGUUAAUGGGGAAAAAAAUGGCCAGUCCCAGCAGGUAAGUGGUAAAUAGAACCAACAAUAUCACCUUGACUGGCUCGAGAACCAGUCGAACAGGCAAAUAAAAUGAAUCUGUAACGAGGCUCUAAUUACAAACAACUUCUCUUUGUUUUUUCGAAUAUAACAACUCACAGCAGUGUUCGAGAAAGUAGAAAGAUACACACAAAAAGGAAAUUAUCACCAUCUAUAAAAUUAAUGUCAACAUGUACUUAGACCUUAGACACACACACCUUUCACAAAAAGGAAUCAGCCUUCAUAUUGUAUUUUUACCUGUUUUGUCAGCAACACAUCAGCCUCCUUACCUCCCCAUAAAUGCAGUUCUACAAAUCAGUUCAAUGGUCACUUA